rnacentral:lncRNA from 1 species
AACAUUCAUCAUGCAAGAUAAUAAAGAAAAUCAAAUAAAUCAUGAAAUGCACAAAUUUUGUGUCAUACUUCGCAAAAUCGUUACAACUUCCAUCUCUGAGGGCAGAUAUAGAUUUCCAACUAUCCAAGUGGAAUGACCAGAUCAGAUAUAGAUACGAUAAUUUGCUUAAAUCCAUUUUUGAUUUUCCAAACCAUGGUAUGAUUUAUGACUAUGGCCAUACAAACUAUAGUAGCCCUAACAGAUAUCUAAAGUCACGAUAUUACUUAGCCACGGGCGACACCUAUAGAUAGUGCAAUACUAUUCUUGUUAGAGGGCACACCGUCAUCUAUUGGAAGCGGUCCUUUUACGUCUUCCAGACUAGAUAGGGUAGGGAAAAAUAGAU